rnacentral:SRP_RNA from 2 species
GCUGGGCAUGGUGGUGCGUGCCUGUAAUCCUAGCUACUCGGGAGGCUGAGACAGGAGAAUCACUUGAACCCAGGAGGGAGAGGUUGCAGUGAGCCGAGAUCACGUCACUGCACUCCAGCCUGGGCAACAGAGUGAGACUCUGUCUCAA